rnacentral:rRNA from 1 species
UGGGGAAUCUUGCACAAUGGGGGCAACCCUGAUGCAGCGACGCCGCGUGAGCGAUGAAGGUUUUCGAAUCGUAAAGCUCUGUCCUAUGGGAAGAUAAUGACGGUACCAUAGGAGGAAGCCCCGGCUAACUACGUGCCAGCAGCCGCGGUAAUACGUAGGGGGCGAGCGUUGUCCGGAAUUACUGGGCGUAAAGGGUUCGCAGGCGGCAUGGCAAGUCCGAUGUAAAAGGCGAAGGCUCAACCUUCGUAAGCAUCGGAAACUGUCAAGCUUGAGUGAAGGAGAGGCAAGUGGAAUUCCUAGUGUAGCGGUGGAAUGCGUAGAUAUUAGGAGGAAUACCGGUGGCGAAGGCGACUUGCUGGACUUCAACUGACGCUGAGGAACGAAAGCGUGGGUAGCAAACGGG